rnacentral:rRNA from 1 species
CCUACGGGUGGCAGCAGUGAGGAAUAUUGGUCAAUGGCCGGAAGGCUGAACCAGCCAAGCCGCGUGAAGGACGAAGGUGCCAAGCAUUGUAAACUUCUUUUGUCAAGGGACAAAAUCAGGCUCGAGAGCCUGACCGAGGGUACUUGAAGAAAAAGCAUCGGCUAACUCCGUGCCAGCAGCCGCGGUAAUACGGAGGAUGCGAGCGUUAUCCGGAUUUAUUGGGUUUAAAGGGUGCGUAGGCGGUAUUUUAAGUUAGUGGUAAAACGUCGGGGCUUCACCUUGAUUGGCCAUUAAAACUGGAGUACUAGAGUACAGACGAGGUAGGCGGAAUAAGUUAAGUAGCGGUGAAAUGCUUAGAUAUAACUUAGAACCCCGAUAGCGAAGGCAGCUUACCAGACUGUUACUGACGCUGAAGCACGAGAGCGUGGGUAGCGAACAGGAUUAGAUACCCUUGUAGUC